rnacentral:misc_RNA from 1 species
AAGUCGUAACAAGGUUUCCGUAGGUGAACCUGCGGGAAGGAUCAUUAAGAGAUGUGCGCAAGCACUUUCCCUUCACACACCUGUGCACCGUGGUCUCCGGACCUACAAACCUGAAGGUCACGAAACGUAUCAUAUCAUAACAAAAAUAAAAA